rnacentral:tRNA from 1 species
GGAGGGGUUCCCGAGUGGCCAAAGGGGGCAGACUGUAAAUCUGUUGUCUCUGACUUCGAAGGUUCAAAUCCUUCUCCCUCCA